AUUGAACGCUGGCGGCAUGCUUUACACAUGCAAGUCGAACGAGUGGCGAAGGGGUGAGUAAUAUAUCGGAACGUGCCGAGUAAUGGGGGAUAACUAAUAGAAAGAUUAGCUAAUACCGCAUAUUAUUCGAGCGGCCGAUAUCGGAUUAGCUAUGUGGUGGGGUAAAGGCCUACCAAGGCGACGAGCCAGAGCGGGCCUGAGAGGAUGAUCGGCCACACUGGGACUGAGACACGGCCCAGACUCCUACGGGAGGCAGCAGUGGGGAAUUUUGGACAAUGGGCGCAAGCCUGAUCCAGCCAUGCCGCGUGUCUGAAGAAGGCCUUCGGGUCGUAAAGCACUUUUGUCAGAGAAGCGGUACCUGAAGAAUAAGCACCGGCUAACUACGUGCCAGCAGCCGCGGUAAUUC
rnacentral:rRNA from 1 species